rnacentral:rRNA from 1 species
GAAAUUUGGCUUAAUGCCCUAUAGUAUCUUUUUAAGGCAUCUUAUUAAGAUUAAAGGUUACGGUAUGAGACGAGUAUGCGUUCUAUUAGCUAGUAGAUCUGGUAACGGCACACCUAGGCUACGAUAGAUAGGGGCCCUGAGAGGGGGAUCCCCCACACUGGUACUGAGACACGACCAGACUCUUACGGGAGGCAGCAGUAAGGAAUAUUGGUCAAUGGACGAAAGUCUGAACCAGCCAUGCCGCGUGCAGGAUGACUGCCCUAUGGGUUGUAAACUGCUUUUAUAUAGGAAGAAAAACUUUCUCGUGAGAAAGCUUGACGGUACUAUAAGAAUAAGGAUC